GGAAGGAUCAUUACUAGAUCGCUCGCCAGAUUUAUCUGGUUGAGCAAGAUCCAACCACCCUUGUAAACCGUUUCACAUAUUGGUAGCUAGCGGUCAUCCGGCCAUUUGCGCCUGUUUGGACGCGUCCUGCCUAUCCCCCUUUUGGAGAUGGUGGGGAGCUGCCGCAUUUUUUAAACCCCAAGUCGUUUCACUUGACUGACGUUUUGGUUAUCCUUUUUGAUAAUUUUUAAACAACUUUUGGCAACGGAUCUCUUGGCUCUCGCAACGAUGAAGAACGCAGCGAAAUGCGAUAAGUAGUGUGAAUUGCAGAAUUCAGUGAAUCAUCGAAUCUUUGAACGCACAUUGCGCUCUCUGGUAUUCCGGAGAGCAUGCCUGUUUGAGUAUCAAUACCAUCUCUCGUACGAAAUUCUGUUUUGAAUUCGUAUGGAUUUGAGCCAUCCCAGACAGAGCCUUCAGGCACUGGGUGACUUUAAAUGUAUUGUUUGGCUCGAUUUCAAGAAUGAAGGCCCAAGAAAAGCGCGACAAGAACCGAAGGAGCUCCGGCUCGUUCAUGGUUUCUAUCCGCUCGACUUGAGGCUUGCACCUUUUGACUUUAUACGCCUUCUCAAACUCUACACACUCUGGUCUCACGACUUUUGUGAUCUUGAUCUCAAAUCAGGCAAGACUACCCGCUGAACUUAAGCAUAUCAAUAAGCGGAGGAAAAGAAACUAACAAGGAUUCCCCUAGUAACGGCGAGUGAAGCGGGAACAGCUCAAAUUUGAAAUCUGGGAGGUUAGCCUCUCCGAAUUGUAGUUUAGAGAAGUGUUUUCGGUGGCGGCCCGAGUUUAAGUCCCUUGGAACAGGGCAUCAUAGAGGGUGAGAAUCCCGUCUUUGACUUGCGGUCUGCUACUAUGUGAUACACUUUCAAAGAGUCGGGUUGUUUGGGAAUGCAGCCCAAAAUGGGUGGUAAAUUUCAUCUAAAGCUAAAUAAUGGCGAGAGACCGAUAGCGAACAAGUACCGUGAGGGAAAGAUGAAAAGAACUUUGAAAAGAGAGUUAAACAGUACGUGAAAUUGCCAAAAGGGGAAACGCUUGAAACCAGUAUUGUUUGCAGGAAAUCAGCCAGGCUCGCCGAAUCGCUGGCAGCAUCAGAUCGCAAGACUAUGCUGUUUGUGCAAGAGGUUUCGCUUGGUGCCACUUUUCUGCCAACAGGUCAACAUCAGUUUGGUUUGCGGGAAAAAGGUCAAGGAAAGGUAGCCCCCCCUCUCGGGGGGUAUUAUAGUCCUGAUUUCUACCGUGGAGCAGACUGAGGAUCGCAGCGCAGGCUUCUGGCGGGGGUUCCCAGCUGCUGCCUCGGCGUUUUUUACAGACAGCGUGGCUGACUGUGAAAAAAUGAGCCGGGACACUCGGUUGGUUCACCACCUCUGUGCUUAGGAUGUUGACGAAAUGGUUUCAAACGACCCGUCUUGAAACACGGACCAAGGAGUCUAACAAAUAUGCGAGUGUUUGGGUGGUAAACCCAUACGCGUAAUGAAAGUGAACUUGGUGGGAUCAAUUGUGCACCAUCGACCGGUCUGGAUUCAUUUUGAAAGAUCUGAGUAAGAGCAUAUCUGUUGGGACCCGAAAGAUGGUGAACUAUGCCUGAAUAGGGUGAAGCCAGAGGAAACUCUGGUGGAGGCUCGUAGCGAUUCUGACGUGCAAAUCGAUCGUCAAAUUUGGGUAUAGGGGCGAAAGACUAAUCGAACCAUCUAGUAGCUGGUUCCCUC
rnacentral:misc_RNA from 1 species